rnacentral:misc_RNA from 1 species
AUCAGAACGCUUGCUCGUUCUGCACUGGGCUGUCCUGCCUCCCCAACGGGAAGCGGGUAGCCUCAAGUUGACUUGUGCAGUGCUCUGCCGAAUGACUCUUGGGUCGUAAAAAGCCUGGGUCUUUGAAGCAGAUAGGCCUGUACGGGGGAUCGGCCAGUCCUGGUAUCGGAUGGUCGUGCCGUGCAU